rnacentral:rRNA from 1 species
GUUCUCAGUUCGGAUUGUAGGCUGCAACUCGCCUACAUGAAGUCGGAAUCGCUAGUAAUCGCGGAUCAGCAUGCCGCGGUGAAUACGUUCCCGGGCCUUGUACACACCGCCCGUCACACCAUGAGAGUUUGUAACACCCAAAGCCGGUGGGGUAACCUUUUGGGGCCAGCCGUCUAAGGUGGGACAGAUGAUUGGGGUGAAGUCGUAACAAGGUAGC